UUCAUCUCCUAAUACUCCGCUUCUCUCAACCUUGUAGUCUCACUCCCACAUCCCUGAUUCGUGUUCCGUUCCUCGUUCUCAACAGUCAACAACCAGAUUAGAUAUCACUUGAACACAUCAUUAAUAAGAUCUACCAAAAUUACAUAUAACCGGCGACCCAUCAAAAAACUAGAUCAGCAAAGGCGCCCAAAAUCCUACAGCAAAGACCCCAAGUAAUCUGACA
rnacentral:lncRNA from 1 species